CCUCGCUGCUGCGUUCUGUUAGGCUAUGGAUUACAGGAACAAAUGUAGUUGAAUAGAACAGCAGGCGGGAUUCCGCUUUCACAUUAAUUAAGAUUAUAGGAGCGAAGCGAUUCUAAAGACAUUAGUAAGGCAAGGCUGGAUGUAAUUCAGGAGAGAAUAAAGAGAUCUUAGUUCGAAGUUUCUCAACACUUUUCAACUCAAACCCUUAAAAUUAGACAUUCUUGAAAAUGCCUCCAAAAAAAAAAAAUAGAAUCCUUUACCCUUUGCCUCCCAUAUCCAUUGCCCCCACUCCUCGCAGAAGAAUCAGAUUACAAAACAUUGAAUUGCUGCCAUUCACGUCUCUACCCAUUAAUCUAUUCUUCACUCUGGAUUCUUCUCUCUUUUUUAUUCUAUACUAUAGUAUAUGGUCUGGUGGUUCAUAUCUGUUGGGUUAAGGAGCUUCUGCAAUCAAGGGAGGAAGAUGUCAUAUCAGAUAUGAUAUUGACAGAUUACGCUGAUUGGAAAUGGAUGAGAAGAUAGGAAGAAAGGUUUUGGAUGUUUUUAAGAUUGUUGAGGAAGCGUUUUCUGUAUAGGAGUAUUGAGGGAGCUCAUUAAGCUUAUUAAGGUUCUUAUCUUCUCUUUCUCAAUUUUCUUUUUCCAAUGACCAAAUUUUAUUUUUUAUGAAUAGAUCUACAAGGAACCAUGAAGCUAUUGCAAUGUCUUUCCUUGUAGCAAAUGCAAUUGGUGCUCAUAUCAAUGACCAUUGACUUUCUGUUGCCAUUCAUAUUAGCAUCAUUUGCUGCAAAUUUUCACUUUCACGGUUUUUCAAUACUUCGUUUCUUGAAGUUAAUGUCAGCAAUCUUCGACCAAAUCUAUAAGGACCAACUAGAAGAGAAUAGGGAUCUCUUAGCUAUCGAAGUAUAGAGGCAUUUUGUUCUUGAGACUAGCUUCAGAUUUAAAUUGUGCAAUUGGGACUUUGUCUUGUCAAAUUUCUGUAGGCAGUAGGUAGUGACUGUGAUUGUUCAUUAUUAUUAUUUUUUUUUGUCUAUUAUAAUAUCUGUGGAAGAGGCGAUUAACUAGGACCAAUGAAUCUGUAUCAAAUCUAAUUUUUGGAUUGGUAAAUGAAUGGGCCGCUUGCUUCUUGGAUGAUCUUGAUUAUUUAGCGAGGGAGAAAAUGGAACUUGAAAUUAAGGAAUGUUUACAUUAUUCUAUUGGAUUUCAGCUUUUUUAAAACUUUAAUGUAUGAAGCAUUCGAGGAAAUAAUUAUUAAAAUAAAAUCAUAUUUUUUAAAUCUUUUAAUUCAAAUUAGGGAUGAAAAUCCAUUGGUAAUCAUCAACGGACAGAAUCUAUAGGUAAUUUGCGAUGGAGAAUUCUGUUGCUAAUUAUUGAUGGAAAUAGCCGUUGGUAAACACCGACGGCUUCUUCCGUCGCUAAAUUACCGAUGACCUAGGUAAUUUGUUGCUAAAAUUAGUGGCGAGGGUAUUACCGACGGAUUUUCCAACCGAAAAUUUUCAUUUUUGAAAGUCGUUAGUGAGGGAAUUUAAGGCAUUCGUGAUGGAAAUUUCCAUAUCUAAAGCCGCAUUUUUUUGUAGUGCCAUUAUUUUCAAGCACAAGACUAAUGCGAAAUAUCAACAAUCUUAAGAACGGAAAAAAGUCUUAAAAGCUGCUAUUCUUUAAAGUUUCUGGAGAUGAGCAAGCCCCGAGAAAUUGGAGGGAAUAGAUCUGUUAAGCUGAUUAUUUGAUAGAUUACUGGAAAAUUAUUGUACAAUGAAGAUAUGUAUUAGCACAAACUGCUAUAAUAUCUCCAAUGGCAGCAUCCAGAAUGUUACUUACAUGGUUGUGAUAUUGCUAGAGUCUGUUUACUGGUAUGUUUUCAGUAAGUUGAUUCUUGCUAAGAUCUCUGUAACAGGAGGAGAACAAUUAUAUUCAAGAACAAAGCAGGCUGGGUUUAUUUUUUCCAUCAAUGCAAGACUUGUACUGAUAUAAUGUCACUUUGCUCGUCAACUUCAUAGAAAGGCCAUACCCCCCCGGGCCCCCAACCCCGACCGAAAAAAAGGUUGCUAGGUUAACAAUAUCAACCUUAUGGGAAGCACACUUCAAAUUAAACAGAGAGAACUUGUUAAAAACUCACACAAGUAUGAUAAGCUUAGCUUUACUCUCAAUAAUCUUAAGACCUGACUUUAUGACUUUUUUGCAGCAACUUUUUUUUUUAACCCAACUUUCUCACGAGCUUGAGGUUUAUAUUCUUGAUUUCCGGCAUCAGAUUCCCAACAGCCUAACAUUAUAACUUCCCCCAACUCCAAUCCCAACCGGAAAAAAGGUUGAUAGGUUAACUAUCAACCUUAAAGGGUUAACAAUAUUAACCUAAUAGGGUAAUUGGGAGCACUCUUUAGAACAGAGACAACUUGCUAAAAAACUCACACAAGUAUGAUAAGCUUAACUUUACUCUCAAUAAUCUUAAGGGCUGAAUUUAUGAAUUUUUUUGCAUUAACUUUUUGUUCGACCCAACUUGCUCACGAACUUGAGGCUUAAAUUCUUGAUUUCCGGCGUCAGAUUCCCAACAGCCAAACAUUAUAACUCUGCCCUCCCCCACCUCUAACCCCAUCCGGAAAAAAGGUUGCUAGGUUAACUAUCAACCUUAAAAGGGUUAACAAUAUUACCUAAUAGGAUAAUUGGGAGCACUCUUCAGAACAGAGACAGCUUGCUAAAAAACUCACACAAGUAUGAUAAGCUUAACUUUACUCUCAAUAAUCUUAAGAGCUGACUUUAUGAAUUUUUUCAGUAACUUUUUGUUUGACCCAACUUGCUCACGAACUUGAGGCUUAAAUUCUUUGGUCCUCCAAAUUAUUAUAAUUGUUAAUCUAAUAUAUGGACUUCAAAAUAAAGCUCAAACACCUAUUAUGUUGACAUACUUUAGGAUGGUACUGCAUAAUUCAUUCUAGAGAUUCAUAUUUACUGCCACUUAAUUAUUUUUUCCGCAAUUACUAACUGUAUUUAAUUCGCUUUGUGCCUGUCAAUGUUAAGGAAGAAAAGCUAUGGAGACAACCAGGUUAUGAACAUUUGAAUGAACCUCUCCACAUCUUGGUUGAGGCUGAUUUACCUGUUAAUGUUGUUGAUAUGAGACUGAGGCAAGCCCAAGAGAUAAUAGAAGAACUGCUCAAAACUUGUGGUAUUAAUCUCAAACCAAUCUUUCUUUGAAAAAUCAGACAAUUUCGUUUCUUUGAGCCAUUCACUACCCAGUAAAGACACAGAUGGUAAUCUACUGAAUUGCUGACUUGAACUACACAAGCUCAAACAUGUCAAAUCACGCAUAUUAAGAAUUAUCCAUUGCUACAUUUUCAUUUUUGUGCUCGAUGAGUCAGAGGAUUCUAUAAAGAGGCAGCAAUUGCAUGAGCUAGCCCUGUUAAAUUCAAAUUUUGGAGAAGAGAGUCCUGGACCAGGUGGUAGCGUCUCACCUUUCAAUACCAGUGGAAUGAAGUCUGAAAAAACAGGAAAUUUGGGGAUGAAAUUGUCGAUCCAUUUCUGUUUUUUGGGUGGUCAUUGCUCAUUUUUUCAGGUGGUAUUUUUUUGGUCUUUCGCAUAUGGUGCCUUUUUGUUGAUGCCAUAUUUUGGUGAAGUUUCUAUAUAAGGAGAUGAACGAUUUGGUAGCUAACAUUGCAAAACAGGGACAAUUUUUUCUUGGCCUUUCACAGAUGGGAAUUGUUGGUUGUUGACACUCUGAUGCUUUGAUGCAAGGAGUGUAUAAAUGAUGAAUGGAAACGAGACUUGGGAAUAUUUGGCUCAAAUUUAUGGCAUGCUUUUAUACCCUUACUGAACAUUUUUAUGGGCUAAAGACAUCGAUCAUUUGCUGAGGCUCCGAAGAUUCUCUAUGAUUGACCAAGGCUGAUAGGACAUGACAAAAUGUUGUAGUUAUUUAUCUUCAAACCCUGC
rnacentral:lncRNA from 1 species